AUGUAGAUAUAUUAAUUAUAUAUUAUUUGCAGUAUUUGAGGGUGAUGCAUGAUGUUUACUAAAAGAUGGCAUACUAGAAGUCAAAAGGUUUCAAAGAAAUGAAAAUCAACAACAAAAAGUGCAAGACGUUUUUGAAUUCUGAUUUAUCACAAAAUGAAUAUUUACAUCAUGGGUUCUGAAAAAGAAGGAAAAUGCAUUUCGAUACUUUGUUGGGGCCCCACAAGAAUGCAACUGUUGUUUCUUUGAUGACGAUUGGAAACAGUUGAAGACUGCAGACACAAGAGAAACAUUUUCCUUUUGGAUUUAACCCAUUGAAUUAUUGAAAUUCUGAAUGGAAGCCACAAAAACAUGAACAUAAACAAUACAUUUUAUAAAGAUAUAGCUUGGAACGUGAUAUGCAUGUUAUCUGACAUACAUGUGUAGUGCAUUUUGAUCUUAACGAUUGCCUGUUCUGUUUAAAUAUUUAGAUUAUUUCAGCAGCUGUGUUUCUUUUUUAAAUUUUGAUGGAAAGUAAAUGUAAAUGUUUCUAAAGUUUUAUUUUAAAACGUUAUUCAGUGCGUAUAGAUAAAGUGCUAUUUGUUUUGUUAAUGGAAUAUUGAUACAAUUAUUACUUCUCCUAUCGAUGAUUUUAUAUUUGUUUGUUUUGAAGAUUAUCGUUAAAUUUAUUUGUAAAUAUAUUUCUCUUCAAUCAACAUAAUAAAUUAUUCAAAACGCA